AUUAUCAACUCUCAGAGUGUGACUUCUAGCUUAAUUUAUUUUUAUUUCCCCCUUUGGUCUCUUUUGGCUUGAGGAAAGGGAAUGGUUUGGUUGCUCCUGGGUUAAGACUUAUUCGUCAUCCAUGUUACAUACCCUUGAUUGCUGGAAUCACACUCCUCUAUUUGUCUUGUUUUAAUUAUUCAAUACAAGGUUUCACUGAUACUGUAAUAAAGGGGUUGAUGGUAUUUGCUCAUGCUUUUCCAUCACAAACUGUGGGGCUUGUAGUUCCUGACUCAAUAAAUGACUUCCUUGGGUCUUUAGACGGUUUCUUUCACUUUUUUGUCUUACCUUAUUAUACCAUUUUUAAAAGAAGACAGGAUAAUAAAUGUUAAUGCUACUACUAUCAUUAUAAAGGGCAAGGACAUUAAGGCUUUAUCUUUGGAGAUAAAAGGAUUCUGUGAAAGCAUGAUAUCUUUUCAUUGUGGAUAUUCACAGUGAGGCGACAUGAACACCUCCUUUAAUCAGUCAUCAUGUUUAUGAAUGACUUAUCGAAGAUGACAAGGCUUCAAGUCGUCACUGCGUAUAUUACAAGCAGUGGGAUAGACCCAAAUCUGUCAAACCUUCUACUGUAUGUGACUUUUCUUCUAAUUUGCCAGUGUUGGACAUUCCUGACUAUUGCCUGACAUGUGUUCAGAAUCUUAAAAUCUCAGUGUUAGAAAGGACUGUGAAGAGAGUUGGCAAUUUCUGUCUGAAUAAUGGAAUGCACCAUUUAAUUAAUUAAUUUUGGUAUGCAAAAUGACUGUUACUUGCCCCCUAAAUUUGAGUGUGAUUUAUUUUUUGAUGAGGAUCAAGCAUUAAUGGAAAAAUUUAUUCCUAAUAUAGAAUUGACAAGUGCCCACUGAUGAUAUUUCUUAGCUUAGUAUAUUGUUUUAGAAGAAAGCAUUUCCCCCCUUAGGUUAUAAACAGGAACCAAAUUUCUAUGAACAAAAACGGAUUCAGUUUUAAGACUAAACAUAUUUUCAAUGACAGAAAGAAAAGCAUACAUAAAGAACAUUUUCCCCCUCAGAUGUUCAUUGCUUUGGAAAAAUGACUUCCAGCAGGCAAAAAUCAAUUUGACAAAAGUAUUAAUGUUCUAAAAUACUAUGAAUGAAAGGAAACAUUUUAAUUCAAUUGAAAAUUUUACUUUAUAUUCAUGCAGCUGAGUUCCAUUGAUAACACUACAUUUCAAGUUGCAAAUCACAUUUAAUUAAUAUUAACACCAGGUAAUUGGCAAAAAUAACUUCAAAGGAGGGCUGAGGAAAUCGCAAAUUGGAGCUGCAGGUGCAGCCGUACUGCAGAGGCUUUGGUGGGAUCCAAAGAAAGUGUAUAUGAUUUUAACCAUCACUGCAGAACCUGACUGAUCAAAUAGAGUAUCAUUUCAAAGCUGUUCUUCUCUCUGGCCUUUCCUAAUAUUUAGGGCUUAGUAACUGCCAAGUAUCAAUAACAGCUGUUAAUGUGAACUGGCAAACAGCAUCCAAACAAAUGCUUUAAGACCUGUAAUUCAAAAGCUGUAGUUAAGUUUUUUAGUAAACAAUAGUAGAUAGAUCAGAAAGAAGACAGGCACCAUUGUCCAGAUGCAGGAUUUGAGUAGAGAGGGCUUUUCUUGACUUGCUAUUGCAUCCAAACUAACUGUGUAGCAGUUCUGCCUGAACGACCAGGGAGGGGGAUUCUGUGUGGCUCCUGACCACAUCCCCCCUCCUGUCUCUUUGCUAGUUCUCCAGGGAUAUCCCAUCAAGUAUUCUGCCCCAAGUCUUCUUUUUGUCACCCUCAGAUACCUCAGAUAGUAAGUGUUACUUACUAUCCAUCUGAUAAUUGUCUUUUCUUCUGUCAACUCUGUAGCCACUUUAACAGUUCUAAAAUUCUUUACAAGUCUGCUACAUUGCUCCUGUGAGUCCCCGGGCAUCAUGGUGAGCCACUGCUCACCGUUCUGAUCAGAAUGCUGAUUUGUUCCUGUGUUUGCUUCACCUGAGUGUGUUUUUCUAAGUGGAAGACCACCCAGUACCUAGCAAGCUGCCUGUCCCACAGCUCAUGCUUGAUGGGUUUUUCUUUAAUGGCUGUUGUCAUCACAUUCAUGGUUGGACUCUUCGUGUAAUCCUAGAGGGUAGACUUGCUCAGGUUCUGGGGAUUGAAAGGCAAAGGUGGCUCCAAUAAUAGCUUGUGCAUCUUAUUAGCUCAUGUCUAAUUGUAAGGGAACCUUGAAGGGCUUCUGCACCAUUAGGUUACUGUUUCCUUGGUGUUAAAAAAUACUAAACCCUGUGCCUUGGGCUCAUCCUGACUCUCAUCCAUUAGCCAGGUAGUGCUGGGCAGUGGUUCAGAGCUUCUGCUGGCUAAGCUUGGGUUUCCAUCUUGUCAAUGGGACCUCUGGUAUCUUCACUGUGUUGUAGUCUAACUGCCUUAUCUGUAGAAUGAAGAUAACAACUGUCUGAGGAUGGAAUGAGAGCAUAUAUAAGUGGGAGGUUAGGUAGUGGACAAACAUCUGUUAUUAUCAUUGUUACUGAGACAGGGCCUUGUUAUAUACUCUACACUGGAUUCAAACUCACAACCCUCCUGUCUUAGUCUUCUGACUACUGGGAUCACAAGUGUGUGCCAUCUUACCAGGCCUCAGUUUGCAUUCUGUUAGAAUCCUGGGGCUUGGCAAUGGACUUAUUUCUGAGUCUGUGUCCUGUUUGCUCAGGAUGCAUGAGGCAGUGUUCCUGGUACUGACUUAGCAUGACAAAUACAUUACCUAAGAUAGAGCUAGCAUAUAUUUGAAUACAUGAAUUAAUUAUGUCAUCAUCGGCACACACCAAAUCUGUGUGCUCGUCUUUCUUUUUCACCCUUCUAAAUAUUAUGUGUCAGCUAGCAUCGCUAGUGUACCCACCAGGUAUUAGGCUAUAUUUGCAUCAGUUGUGAGGACAAAGAGAUGGAUCACAGUGUUUUCUAGCAGGUCUCUUCCAGUUCACAUAACAAAAAUACUUGUCAGAAGACCUCAGGAAAGUGAUUGGUAGGUCCCAAACUCAAAGGCCGCACAGUAUCAUGGGAGUUACUUUAAAUAACUUCAGCAGAAGAAGCUUUCUGACAUAAAGCUUCAAAAAAAAAAAUAAAUAAAUAAAAAGGAAUGCUGACUAUGCCCACUUUGUAAUGUAAUGCAUGUUUGUAGAGUGGUCAAUAUGUCUAAUACACUAGUAGUGUCUCACAAUAAUACCGUAUGUGUUUAAUCUACUGGCAACUACUCAGGAGUAUUGUCUCCUAGGCCAUCCAUGUUAGACAUGUUCUAAUGUGCAAGUCAUGGUCCUUUUGACCUAACAUCACCCGUGCCCUUGGCAGAAAUUUCAGUUUUGCUCAGUUUCUGAGAGUGAGCCAG